AAUAACUCCUGUUUCAGCUUGCAGCAGUCAGGGUAGGAAGAUCUUUUGCUUCUACCUUAACAGCCACUAAAGCAGAAAAUGCCAGCCUGUAACUCCGUCACACAGGACUUGUGAAACAGUUUGAUGGAGCUCAUAAACAUCUGCUCAAAAUAUGGACUGUGAUGAACAUCUCCUGCUACCUUCUGGAUGACCUUGGAUACUCUAUCUCUAUUCCCCAUUGGCUAAUGGAAUCAAAAGGUGAUGCCAUGGUGAGAGAGACCUCCCUUUUCCACGUGCUGUCCCAUGAUGCAGUAGCUCGUCAGGCCUUUGGAGUGAUUCAACAUCAUAGAUCAGUCUGUCUUCUGUUUACAGAGAGCAAAUCCUCCACAUCCCUCCUUGGAUUCAAGACCCCAACUAAUCCCUCAUCUCUUUGAUUCUCUACCAGCUGUUCAUCUGUCCUCUUUGUCAUAUGCUUUGAUGGGGAAAUCUUCCCAUCAAAGCCAACAAGACAAUUAGACACAUGUAAGUAUUUAAGAAUGCAAUUAUACUGCAAAAUAUUUUAUAGAUAAGUGUAAAAUGGUAAGAAAAAUCAUCUCCUGAAUUGCACCAUAUCAAAACCAAUUGAUCAGGUAAAACUGAGAAUUUCCAGGAAUUCAGAUAUUUUACACAAGUUGAAAUAUAGAUUUCAUGUUUAUUCUCAAACAUUAUAGAAAGUUGUGACUAUUUCUGCAUAGAUAAGAACAUACAGAAUUUUAUUUUGAGCACUAAAAGUGAUGAUCUGAUCCCUCACUCCACAUAUUAAUAUUUGUUCCAAGUCACGAGCCUCAUAACAGGUUCACUGGCCCCUAAGCUAUAGCUUGUCACAAGCAGGAGACAAUUAUUAGAGAGCUUUCCCUCUGUUUGGUCCUUGUAAUUAACUUGAUUUCCUCCACAGAAUUCCAAUUAUCCUAUUAAACAAUGAGUCAGGAUGCUUAUAUUGAUACAGGUGCCUUAAUUGGUUAAUUUAUACUCGUGCCAGCCCCAACUAAGAACUGAUUUCCCUGAGGCGUCCUUAGAUAACUAUAGUUCCUCCUAAACUGUAAUGGUAAUUCUUAACAGGCGUAAUACGUGAGCAUAACAUUUGGACCUUUGCACAAGCAUCCCUUGUCACAUGCUCGUUCACGUUUAGCCAUACGUAAACAUGCUAUUCAGCUUUUACUUGCUUCUACUUUAUAAUUUCUAACUUAUUUAGUUUUAAGUAUAAAACUAGGAUUAUUCAAUACUG
rnacentral:lncRNA from 1 species